GCCUGAAAUAGAUAUUUCUCUCCACCGCCGGAGGGAUUUAUUGGCAGAACCGGCCAUCUAUUAACAUUAUCUGGGGACUCUGCACUGAUGUUGUUCCCGGAGCCUUAAUGAUUCUUCUUCGGGAAUUGAAUCACGAGCCCCGCUAACCAUCGCUGACCCACAGGCGAAUUUUGCACGGAAGAACUUGAACUUGGCAGCGGCUCAGAAGGAACUCCUCCCUCCUUCCCGUCCCUGCGGCCGCGCCGUCUGCACGGGAGGAGCUCUGUGUUCCCGCGGCGUUCUCAGGGCCAGCGAGGCCCCUUUGGGUAUCCCAUUCCGGAGCUUGCUCGGCGCUUCUUUCCAGCAACACAGAUGAUGAUCGUUAGUGCGUUCCUCUUCAGGGCUCAGUUUCUGCAGGCUCAGGUGACGUCCCCUGGCCCCUCGAUCUGGGUGUUGGAUGUCUAGGUGUCCCCACCGGUUUUCGGGUGCACUCUCCAAUUCCCAGCCUGGGGAGAUGCUGAUAUGGAAAAUGGCAGGCGCAGGGACACGGCCGCUGGCAACCUCCCCGUUGCUCUGCAUCUCUGAGGGCCAGCACUGCGCAUGGCCAGUUGGAGGGCACGCUGCUGGGGCCGGGCCCGAGACACACAGCCGCCCGGGACCCCCGCAUGCAGGAAAGCCCCCAGGCCAACGUGCCGCUGCCUGUUUCCAGCCACACUGUUUGCGUGCUUCUGAUUGGGUAAUUUUUG